GUCUUUACGCAAUGGCAGUAUCAUAGCCAAUGAGGUUUAUCCAAGGCACAAUUAUUGCUAAUUGAAACUUUUCCCAGUUUAAGUUGUAGAAGCUAGUUAAUAAUA